rnacentral:rRNA from 1 species
GGGUUGUGAGGUUAAGCGACUAAGCGUACACGGUGGAUGCCACGGCAGUCAGAGGCGAUGAAGGACGUGCUAAUCUGCGAUAAGCGUCGGUAAGGUGAUAUGAACCGUUAUAACCGGCGAUUUCCGAAUGGGGAAACCCAGUGUGAUUCGUCACACUAUCAUUAACUGAAUCCAUAGGUUAAUGAGGCGAACCGGGGGAACUGAAACAUCUAAGUACCCCGAGGAAAAGAAAUCAACCGAGAUUCCCCCAGUAGCGGCGAGCGAACGGGGAGCAGCCCAGAGCCUGAAUCAGUGUGUGUGUUAGUGGAAGCGUCUGGAAAGGCGCGCGAUACAGGGUGACAGCCCCGUACACAAAAAUGCACAUAUUGUGAGCUCGAUGAGUAGGGCGGGACACGUGGUAUCCUGUCUGAAUAUGGGGGGCCCAUCCUCCAAGGCUAAAUACUCCUGACUGACCGAUAGUGAACCAGUACCGUGAGGGAAAGGCGAAAAGAACCCCGGCGAGGGGAGUGAAAAAGAACCUGAAACCGUGUACGUACAAGCAGUGGGAGCACGCUUAGGCGUGUGACUGCGUACCUUUUGUAUAAUGGGUCAGCGACUUAUAUUCUGUAGCAAGGUUAACCGAAUAGGGGAGCCGAAGGGAAACCGAGUCUUAACUGGGCGUUAAGUUGCAGGGUAUAGACCCGAAACCCGGUGAUCUAGCCAUGGGCAGGUUGAAGGUUGGGUAACACUAACUGGAGGACCGAACCGACUAAUGUUGAAAAAUUAGCGGAUGACUUGUGGCUGGGGGUGAAAGGCCAAUCAAACCGGGAGAUAGCUGGUUCUCCCCGAAAGCUAUUUAGGUAGCGCCUCGUGAAUUCAUCUCCGGGGGUAGAGCACUGUUUCGGCAAGGGGGUCAUCCCGACUUACCAACCCGAUGCAAACUGCGAAUACCGGAGAAUGUUAUCACGGGAGACACACGGCGGGUGCUAACGUCCGUCGUGAAGAGGGAAACAACCCAGACCGCCAGCUAAGGUCCCAAAGUCAUGGUUAAGUGGGAAACGAUGUGGGAAGGCCCAGACAGCCAGGAUGUUGGCUUAGAAGCAGCCAUCAUUUAAAGAAAGCGUAAUAGCUCACUGGUCGAGUCGGCCUGCGCGGAAGAUGUAACGGGGCUAAACCAUGCACCGAAGCUGCGGCAGCGACGCUUAUGCGUUGUUGGGUAGGGGAGCGUUCUGUAAGCCUGCGAAGGUGUGCUGUGAGGCAUGCUGGAGGUAUCAGAAGUGCGAAUGCUGACAUAAGUAACGAUAAAGCGGGUGAAAAGCCCGCUCGCCGGAAGACCAAGGGUUCCUGUCCAACGUUAAUCGGGGCAGGGUGAGUCGACCCCUAAGGCGAGGCCGAAAGGCGUAGUCGAUGGGAAACAGGUUAAUAUUCCUGUACUUGGUGUUACUGCGAAGGGGGGACGGAGAAGGCUAUGUUGGCCGGGCGACGGUUGUCCCGGUUUAAGCGUGUAGGCUGGUUUUCCAGGCAAAUCCGGAAAAUCAAGGCUGAGGCGUGAUGACGAGGCACUACGGUGCUGAAGCAACAAAUGCCCUGCUUCCAGGAAAAGCCUCUAAGCAUCAGGUAACAUCAAAUCGUACCCCAAACCGACACAGGUGGUCAGGUAGAGAAUACCAAGGCGCUUGAGAGAACUCGGGUGAAGGAACUAGGCAAAAUGGUGCCGUAACUUCGGGAGAAGGCACGCUGAUAUGUAGGUGAAGUCCCUUGCGGAUGGAGCUGAAAUCAGUCGAAGAUACCAGCUGGCUGCAACUGUUUAUUAAAAACACAGCACUGUGCAAACACGAAAGUGGACGUAUACGGUGUGACGCCUGCCCGGUGCCGGAAGGUUAAUUGAUGGGGUCAGCGCAAGCGAAGCUCUUGAUCGAAGCCCCGGUAAACGGCGGCCGUAACUAUAACGGUCCUAAGGUAGCGAAAUUCCUUGUCGGGUAAGUUCCGACCUGCACGAAUGGCGUAAUGAUGGCCAGGCUGUCUCCACCCGAGACUCAGUGAAAUUGAACUCGCUGUGAAGAUGCAGUGUACCCGCGGCAAGACGGAAAGACCCCGUGAACCUUUACUAUAGCUUGACACUGAACAUUGAGCCUUGAUGUGUAGGAUAGGUGGGAGGCUUUGAAGUGUGGACGCCAGUCUGCAUGGAGCCGGCCUUGAAAUACCACCCUUUAAUGUUUGAUGUUCUAACGUGGACCCGUGAUCCGGGUUGCGGACAGUGUCUGGUGGGUAGUUUGACUGGGGCGGUCUCCUCCUAAAGAGUAACGGAGGAGCACGAAGGUUGGCUAAUCCCUGGUCGGACAUCAGGAGGUUAGUGCAAUGGCAUAAGCCAGCUUGACUGCGAGCGUGACGGCGCGAGCAGGUGCGAAAGCAGGUCAUAGUGAUCCGGUGGUUCUGAAUGGAAGGGCCAUCGCUCAACGGAUAAAAGGUACUCCGGGGAUAACAGGCUGAUACCGCCCAAGAGUUCAUAUCGACGGCGGUGUUUGGCACCUCGAUGUCGGCUCAUCACAUCCUGGGGCUGAAGUAGGUCCCAAGGGUAUGGCUGUUCGCCAUUUAAAGUGGUACGCGAGCUGGGUUUAGAACGUCGUGAGACAGUUCGGUCCCUAUCUGCCGUGGGCGCUGGAGAACUGAGGGGGGGCUGCUCCUAGUACGAGAGGACCGGAGUGGACGCAUCACUGGUGUUCGGGUUGUCAUGCCAAUGGCACUGCCCGGUAGCUAAAUGCGGAAGAGAUAAGUGCUGAAAGCAUCUAAGCACGAAACUUGCCCCGAGAUGAGUUCUCCCUGACCCUUUAAGGGUCCUGAAGGAACGUUGAAGACGACGACGUUGAUAGGCCGGGUGUGUAAGCGCAGCGAUGCGUUGAGCUAACCGGUACUAAUGAACCGUGAGGCUUAACCUUACAACGCCGAAG